GGGAUUGUAGUUCAAUUGGUCAGAGCACCGCCCUGCCAAGGUGGAAGCUGUAGGUUCAAGCCCCGUCAGUCCCA
rfam:Gossypium arboreum cultivar AKA8401 contig_106281_1, whole genome shotgun sequence.